rnacentral:sRNA from 1 species
GCGGCCGCCUGCCCCGCCCCUGCCCCCGCCCCCUGUCCUGAGCACUGUUGCUAACCCCCAGUCCUGUCACAGUGACCGUGUCUACCAGGUGGGUGAGGCCAUGGGUGGCAGCUGGGGCGGGUCUCAGGGCUCUCUGGAGGGGAGUGAAGCCCUGGCUGUGUCUCCCUGUAGGGCUGCCUGACGCCCACCCGCCUGGAGCCACAGCCCACGGAGGUCGGAGCCUGCCCACCCGCCUUGUCCUCCAGGAUCGGAGUCACCCUGAGGAAGCCCCGCGGCGACGCAAAGAAGUGCCGGAAGGUGUAUGGCAUGGAGCGCCGGGACCUGUGGUGCACAGCCUGCCGCUGGAAGAAAGCCUGCCAGCGGUUCCUGGACUAAGUCCGGCUCGUUCAAGAACAUAAGCUACCACCUCUCCCUCCCCAGCCCUCCAGGCCCGGGGCUGAAACAGCCGGGGGACAGCCCCAGGGGCUGGCCUUCACCAGCUGCAGGGUCUGCUUUUAAUU